UUGCGUCCCUUUCAUUAUUCAGAGUAGCAGAACUUGUUCGCCUUUCUUCAAAUAAACAAUAUAAUUUAUCAGUGCAUUCAUAAGAAUACCGAAAGGAUUUGAAAGCGAAUUUUGAGAAAAGAAAAAGAAAAAUAUAAAAUGGAACGAAUCUCAUUAAUUGUUUUAGUGGUAAUGGCACUUUUUAUUGUCGAGGGAUUUUCGAGGGUUUGUGAUAUUAAUUGUUGGCUAAAUAAUUGGAUGUCUCGCGAUGCAUUUUGUGGCAAUGGACCAAAAUAUUCUUAUCCUGGACCAAUUCACGGCACUUGCUAUUGUUGCGGUCAAAUAUAGUACAAAAAAAAUUUUUUUUUACAAUUCAGAAUUGAAUAAUUAGAGAGAGUAAAAUAAAAUAUUAAAACAAAUAUUGAAUAUGAAUCGCGCCUGUCUUAUUGUUUUAAUUAUUAUGACGAUAUUCAUCGUCAAUGGAAUGUCAUCACCACUACAACUUGGAUGUGAAGUUAAUUGUUGGCUAAAUGAUUGGCAAGCUCGUGAUCAUUUUUGCGGAAAUGGAAAUAAAUACUCCUACAAUGGACCUCUACAUGGAAAAUGUUAUUGUUGCGAGGUAAGACUCGCUGGUUAAUUUUUUUUUCUCGAAAACCACAACGAUAAUGAUAACAUAACAAUAAUUAUGAUAAUAAUGUAAUAAUUAUAUAAUAAUAAUAACAAUUAUAAAUAAAAUAAAGCAAAAUGA